rnacentral:tRNA from 2 species
GGGGCCGUGGUCCAAUGGGAAGAUGCGUCCUUCGCGCGGACGAGAUGGGGGUUCGAUUCCCCCCGGCUCCACCA